AGAGUUUGAUCAUGGCUCAGGACGAACGCUGGCGGCGUGCCUAAUGCAUGCAAGUCGAGCGGGCUACGAUCUUCGGAUUGUAGCUUAGCGGCGAACGGGUGAGUAACACGUAGGUAAUCUACCCUUCAGAGGAGGACAACCUCAGGAAACUGAGGCUAAACCUUCAUACGUUCACUGGUAGGGAUACUGGUGAAGAAAGAGUUACCUUAGUGGUAGCUGCUGAAGGAUGAGCCUGCGGCCCAUCAGGUAGUUGGUGAGGUAACGGCUCACCAAGCCGAAGACGGGUAACCGGUCUGAGAGGAUGUCCGGUCACACUGGGACUGAGACACGGCCCAGACUCCUACGGGAGGCAGCAGCAGGGAAUCUUGGGCAAUGGGCGAAAGCCUGACCCAGCGACGCCGCGUGGAGGAAGAAGUCCUUCGGGGCGUAAACUCCUGGACUGGGGGACGAGGAAGGACGGUACCCCAGUAGAAAGGGACGGCUAACUACGUGCCAGCAGCCGUGGUAAAACGUAGGUCCCGAGCGUUGUUCGGAUUCACUGGGUGUAAAGGGCGCGUAGGUGGUUGUCUGUGUCUCAUGUGAAAACUCAGGGCUCAACUCUGAGAUUGCGUGGGAAACUAGGCAGCUAGAGGACGGUAGAGGGGAGUGGAAUUCCCGGUGUAGCGGUAAAAUGCGUAGAUAUCGGGAGGAACACCGGUGGCGAAGGCGGCUCUCUGGGCCGAUCCUGACGCUGAGGCGCGAAAGCUAGGGGAGCGAACCGGAUUAGAUACCCGGGUAGUCCUAGCCGUAAACGAUGGGUGCUAGGUGUUGGGGGGGUAAAGACCCUUCAGUGCCGAAGCCAACGCGAUAAGCAUCCCACCUGGGGAGUACGGCCGCAAGGGUUGAAACUCAAAUGAAUUGACGG
rnacentral:rRNA from 1 species